AGAGUUUGAUCAUGGCUCAGAACGUACGCUGGCGGCACGCCUAACACAUGCAAGUCGAACGAAGUAGCAAUACUUAGUGGCAGACGGGUGAGUAACAUGUGGGUAUCUACCCUUUGGCCUGGAAUAACACGAGGAAACUUGUGCUAAUACCGGAUAAGUCUUUACGGAGAAAGCUUUAUGCACCAUUGGAUGAGCCCGCACUUGAUUAGUUUGUUGGUAGGGUAAUGGCCUACCAAGACUAUGAUCAAUAGCUGAUUUGAGAGGAUGAUCAGCCACAUUGGGACUGAGACACGGCCCAAACUCCUACGGGAGGCAGCAGUGGGGAAUCUUGCACAAUGGAGGAAACUCUGAUGCAGCGAUGCCGCGUGAGUGAAGAAGGCCUUUGGGUUGUAAAGCUCUUUCGUCGGGGAAGAAAAUGACUGUACCCGAAUAAGAAGGUCCGGCUAACUUCGUGCCAGCAGCCGCGGUAAUACGAAGGGACCUAGCGUAGUUCGGAAUUACUGGGCUUAAAGAGUUCGUAGGUGGUUGAAAAAGUUGGUGGUGAAAUCCCAGAGCUUAACUCUGGAACUGCCAUCAAAACUUUUCAGCUAGAGUAUGAUAGAGGAAAGCAGAAUUUCUAGUGUAGAGGUGAAAUUCGUAGAUAUUAGAAAGAAUACCAAUUGCGAAGGCAGCUUUCUGGAUCAUUACUGACACUGAGGAACGAAAGCAUGGGUAGCGAAGAGGAUUAGAUACCCUCGUAGUCCAUGCCGUAAACGAUGUGUGUUAGACGUUGGAAAUUUAUUUUCAGUGUCGCAGGGAAACCGAUAAACACACCGCCUGGGGAGUACGACCGCAAGGUUAAAACUCAAAUGAAUUGACGGGGACCCGCACAAGUAGUGGAGCAUGUGGUUUAAUUCGAAGAUACGCGCAGAACCUUACCAACACUUGACAUGUUCGUCGCGACUCUAAGAGAUUAGAGUUUUCGGUUCGGCCGGACGAAACACAGGUGCUGCAUGGCUGUCGUCAGCUCGUGUCGUGAGAUGUUGGGUUAAGUCCCGCAACGAGCGCAACCCUC
rnacentral:rRNA from 1 species